rnacentral:lncRNA from 1 species
CUCGUGUAUUUCCGCUUCCUCAGCAGCCUGAGUUGUGGUAGCUAGCAUGGAGUCUACUGUGUGACUGUUAGAAUAGUGAACCGUGUUGAACAUGUUUGGACGCGCUCCGUUCGGCCGCCCUCCGGCCCCCGGACCUCCCUUUGGCUUUUCUUCUGGUCACAUGCCGCCUGGACCCGGGGCUUCUUUCCUCAGCCGUUUCCCCUCCGCACAGUUCACUCCCCGCUGUGACCAAGGCUCAUCACAUGCUGUGGAACAGCCAGCACACCUGCAGCGUCCGUGGAGCGCCACCCCCUGUGAAAGCAGUGAACAGGCUGGGGAGGAGUUCUUAAGAUGCAUCGCAGACAACAAACCUCUGCCAGACUACCUGAAGAGAACCUUUGCAGGUGAUGUGAAGGAUGUGAUGAAGUCCACUCUCAUUGUGAAAAAAGUGGAGGAGUUCCACAAGCUGAUGAGAAGAAGGAAGAGCACGAGCAGGGGCCGCAGCCGUGGCAGGAGCCGCUGUAAGAGUGUGUAUCGCUCCCGCAGUAAGAGUCCAGGAAGCAGGGGGCGUAGCAGGGGGAGGAGCAAGAGCCGUGAGCGCCGCUGCAGGAGCAAGUCCAGGAAACAUAGUCGCAGCAAGAGCUGUGCCAGGAAACACAGUCGCAGCAAGAGCUGUGCCAGGAAGAAAAGCCGCUCACAGAGCAGGGCUCCGGCUCCAAGGGCCAAAUCCCAGAGCCGAGUGAUGAAAAGGAGCCACAGCAGGAGCCACAGCAGCACCACGUCACCAGCACGCAGCGUCAUCCACAAACUGAUGCAGGUCGUUAGCAGGAAGAGAUUAGAAGAUGUCAUCCACUCCAUCCAGGCUGCAGGAGGAGUAAAAACAGAGGAGCACGUGUCCAGUGAGCAAACAUGUGUGCAUCAGGAUGAAGAGGAGAGCGACAUCCUUCCCCAUGACAGGGUGGGCAUGGGCAGUGACUUCUCUUGGCUUCAGACAAACAGGAAUGAGAGCGUUUCCUCUCAAAAGGUUGAGAAGUUUGAUGAAGAGCUUUUUCUCUACGGGAACGGUUUGUCCCUCCAAACAUCAGAGCACAGCCAAGCAGAGGAAACGUUGAAGAGCUUCAGGGUAGAUCCAAAGCUCCUGUUAAAGUUUUCCUCAGUCACUCAGGACAGCUUGGACUGUGAGACCAUCAGGGACAUCCUAAAGAGUGUGGGGGCCGUACCGAUCAUCAAUGAUCACAAGGUGAAGACAGAGGAGCAGAAACAUCCACGGGCAGGUCCUACAGCUUCAUGUUCAACAUCAUCAAAGGCUCAGCCAUCUGGGAUCAAAGUUAAGGUCUGCGGCGUGAGUCCAUCUAAUGUGAGGAAGUGAGGCCUCAUCAUCUUUAUCUGCUCCAGGUAAAUUAGAGAUGUUUAAUGUUUUUACUGCUGAUUUAAUGUUCUUAUUGAUUUUUAAACUGUUGCACUUUUUAAUUGUGUAAACU